rnacentral:rRNA from 1 species
GAUGAACGCUGGCGGCGUGCCUAAUACAUGCAAGUCGAGCGAACGGACGAGAAGCUUGCUUCUCUGAUGUUAGCGGCGGACGGGUGAGUAACACGUGGAUAACCUACCUAUAAGACUGGGAUAACUUCGGGAAACCGGAGCUAAUACCGGCUAAUAUUUUGAACCGCAUGGUUCAAAAGUGAAAGACGGUCUUGCCGUCACUUAUAGAUGGAUCCGCGCUGCAUUAGCUAGUUGGUAAGGUAACGGCUUACCAAGGCAACGAUGCAUAGCCGACCUGAGAGGGUGAUCGGCCACACUGGAACUGAGACACGGUCCAGACUCCUACGGGAGGCAGCAGUAGGGAAUCUUCCGCAAUGGGCGAAAGCCUGACGGAGCAACGCCGCGUGAGUGAUGAAGGUCUUCGGAUCGUAAAACUCUGUUAUUAGGGAAGAACAUAUGUGUAAGUAACUGUGCACAUCUUGACGGUACCUAAUCAGAAAGCCACGGCUAACUACGUG